rnacentral:rRNA from 1 species
AUGGCUGAGUACGACGGCAUUGUCAGCAGGAUGUUUGAUAGCGAGGAAGAGGGUUUUGAGUUCUAUAACAAGUAUGCUCUUGAGAAAGGCUUUAGUGUGAGGAAAGGAUAUGUUGAGUGGGAUGAAGCGAACGAGAAGAUAAUUCUGAGGAAACUUGUCUGUAGUCGUGAAGGUUGCCGUGAAGAGAAACACAUGAAGAGGAAG